rnacentral:rRNA from 1 species
GUAGGGAAUAUUGGGCAAUGGGUGCAAGUCUGACCCAGCCAUCCCGCGUGCCGGAAGAAGGCCCUCAGGGUUGUAAACGGCUUUUGACGGUGAAGAAUCGACAGGAUGCGUCCUGUUUUGACGGUAGCCGUUGAAUAAGCACCGGCUAACUCCGUGCCAGCAGCCGCGGUAAUACGGAGGGUGCGAGCGUUGUCCGGAUUUAUUGGGUUUAAAGGGUGCGUAGGCUGGAAGGUCAGUCAGCGGUGAAAAGCUGUCGCUUAACGAUAGUCUUGCCGCAGAUACUUCCUUUCUUGGAUGAGGAGGAGGCCACUGGAACGGAUGGUGUAGCGGUGCAAUGCAUAGAUAUCAUCCAGAACACCGAUUGCGAAGGCAGGUGGCUGUACCUUAAUCGACGCUGAUGCACGAAAGCAUGGGGAGCAAACAGGAUUAGAAACCCGAGUAGUCC